rnacentral:rRNA from 1 species
UACGUAGGGUGCAAGCGUUGUCCGGAAUUAUUGGGCGUAAAGAGCUCGUAGGCGGUCUGUCGCGUCUGCUGUGAAAACUCAGGGCUUAACCCUGAGCUUGCAGUGGGUACGGGCAGACUAGAGUGCGGUAGGGGAGACUGGAAUUCCUGGUGUAGCGGUGAAAUGCGCAGAUAUCAGGAGGAACACCUGCGGCGAAGGCGGGUUGCUGGGCCGACACUGACGCUGAUGCGCGAAAGCCAGGGGAGCGAACGGG